AACGAACGCUGGCGGCAUGCCUAACACAUGCAAGUCGAACGAGACCUUCGGGUCUAGUGGCGCACGGGUGCGUAACGCGUGGGAAUCUGCCCUUGGGUCCGGAAUAACUCAGAGAAAUUUGAGCUAAUACCGGAUGAUGACGUAAGUCCAAAGAUUUAUCGCCCAGGGAUGAGCCCGCGUAGGAUUAGCUAGUUGGUGAGGUAAAGGCUCACCAAGGCGACGAUCCUUAGCGGUCUGAGAGGAUGAUCAGCCACACUGGGACUGAGACACGGCCCAGACUCCUACGGGAGGCAGCAGUGGGGAAUAUUGGACAAUGGGCGAAAGCCUGAUCCAGCAAUGCCGCGUGAGUGAUGAAGGCCUUAGGGUUGUAAAGCUCUUUUACCCGGGAUGAUAAUGACAGUACCGGGAGAAUAA
rnacentral:rRNA from 1 species